AUUCCAGCUCCAAUAGCGUAUAUUAAAGUUGUUGCAGUUAAAAAGCUCGUAGUUGGAUUCCUGGUUAGAGCGGCCGGUCUGGUCCGAAUGGGCUAGUACUUUGAGCUGUCUUUGACCUUCCUUUGGGAGAAUCUGUGUUGUUAUUAAUUUAGCAGUGCAGGGGACCCCAAUCGUUUACUGUGAAAAAAUUAGAGUGUUUAAAGCAGGCAUUUGCUGUGAAUACAUUAGCAUGGAAUAAUAAGAUAGGACUUUGGUGCUAUUUUGUUGGUUUGCACACCAAGGUAAUGAUUAACAGGGACAGUUGGGGGUAUUCGUAUUUAAUUGUCAGAGGUGAAAUUCAUGGAUUUAUGAAAGACGAACUACUGCGAAAGCAUUUACCAAGGAUGUUUUCAUUA
rnacentral:rRNA from 1 species